GAUGAACGCUGGCGGCGUGCCUAACACAUGCAAGUCGAGCGAUUUACUUCGGUAAAGAGCGGCGGACGGGUGAGUAACGCGUGGGUAACCUGCCCUGUACACACGGAUAACAUACUGAAAGGUAUGCUAAUACGGGAUAACAUAAGAGAGUCGCAUGGCUUUCUUAUCAAAGCUUUUGCGGUACAGGAUGGACCCGCGUCUGAUUAGCUAGUUGGUAAGGUAACGGCUUACCAAGGCGACGAUCAGUAGCCGACCUGAGAGGGUGAUCGGCCACAUUGGAACUGGGACACGGUCCAGACUCCUACGGGAGGAAGCAGUGGGGAAUAUUGCACAAUGGGCGAAAGCCUGAUGCAGCAACGCCGCGUGAGCGAUGAAGGCCUUCGGGUCGUAAAGCUCUGUCCUCAAGGAAGAUAAUGACGGUACUUGAGGAGGAAGCCCCGGCUAACUACGUGCCAGCCGCCGCAGUAA
rnacentral:rRNA from 1 species